UAGUGGCGGAUCCAGAGCCUGAGCCUGAGAGGGGCACUUGUAGAUUAUUUAAAGAAAUAUUCCAUGCACAAUAACCACUACUCCUCUGUGUAGUGGUUAUGGUGCCAGAAGCGUCGGCACCCCCUCCCAGAGUAAGUCGUCAAACCGUUUAAGAACAGUUUGACAACUUACCUGGAGUCUGCUGGGAUAUGGGGCUGUAGUAGGGUAUAGGAGCAGUGGUGCAAUGUGUGUGAAAGGUUCAGUGUGUGGGUGGGCAGUGUGUAAAUGUGUAUGGUGUGUGUGUGUGUGUGUGGGGGCAGUGUGUGAAUGUGUAUGGUGUGUGUGUGGGGCAGUGUGUGUAUGGGGCUAGAGUUCACUCCUACUACUGGGACCACCAGGA